UUGUGUGUGUGUGUGUGUAGACUUUGUCCCGGCUGCAGGAAGUCACCAUCACACCGCCGUCGCCGCGACGACCCGAGGACCUUCAGACCUACCUGAAACAGUCGAAGACACGCAGCCUCCGACGUGUUACAAUGGACUGACCGCCGUCUUCUGUGGACGAGGGUGGGGGGGACAGCCUUCUGGCUCCACCCUCUCCACAGGAUCAGCCAAUCAGAAGACAGGUGGGCGAGAAACCGACAGAAGAUGUGAUCAUCGUACAUAAUUAACCAGAUGAACUGUGACAUGUUGUUGACUCGUGGUUUAUAGAAUUAUAAAAUAUACAUGUAUAUGUCAACACUUUACAUUGAUCAAAGCUACAUUUCUGUAAAUAAUACUUUUAUCAAUAAAAUCUCAGUCACAAGA